UGGGGAAUUUUCCGCAAUGGGCGAAAGCCUGACGGAGCAAUGCUGCGUGGAGGUGGAAGGCCUACGGGUCGUCAACUUCUUUUCUCGGAGAAGAAACAAUGACGGUAUCUGAGGAAUAAGCAUCGGCUAACUCUGCGCCAG
rnacentral:rRNA from 1 species